GACGAACGCUGGCGGCGUGCUUAACACAUGCAAGUCGAACGGAAAGGCCCUGCUUUUGUGGGGUGCUCGAGUGGCGAACGGGUGAGUAACACGUGAGUAACCUGCCCUUGACUUUGGGAUAACUUCAGGAAACUGGGGCUAAUACCGGAUAGGAGCUCCUGCUGCAUGGUGGGGGUUGGAAAGUUUCGGCGGUUGGGGAUGGACUCGCGGCCUAUCAGCUUGUUGGUGGGGUAGUGGCUUACCAAGGCUUUGACGGGUAGCCGGCCUGAGAGGGUGACCGGCCACAUUGGGACUGAGAUACGGCCCAGACUCCUACGGGAGGCAGCAGUGGGGAAUAUUGCACAAUGGGCGGAAGCCUGAUGCAGCAACGCCGCGUGCGGGAUGACGGCCUUCGGGCUGUAAACCGCUUUCGCCUGUGACGAAGCGUGAGUGACGGUAAUGGGUAAAGAAGCACCGGCUAACUACGUG
rnacentral:rRNA from 1 species